rnacentral:rRNA from 1 species
GAUGAACGCUGGCGGCGUGCUUAGCACAUGCAAGUCGAACGAAGCACUUUAUUUGAUUUCCUUCGGGACUGAUUAUUUUGUGACUGAGUGGCGGACGGGUGAGUAACGCGUGGGUAACCUGCCUUGUACAGGGGGAUAACAGUUGGAAACGGCUGCUAAUACCGCAUAAGCGCACGGCAUCGCAUGAUGCAGUGUGAAAAACUCCGGUGGUAUAAGAUGGACCCGCGUUGGAUUAGCUAGUUGGUGAGGUAACGGCCCACCAAGGCGACGAUCCAUAGCCGACCUGAGAGGGUGACCGGCCACAUUGGGACUGAGACACGGCCCAAACUCCUACGGGAGGCAGCAGUGGGGAAUAUUGCACAAUGGGCGAAAGCCUGAUGCAGCGACGCCGCGUGAGCGAAGAAGUAUUUCGGUAUGUAAAGCUCUAUCAGCAGGGAAGAUAAUGACGGUACCUGACUAAGAAGCACCGGCUAA